rnacentral:rRNA from 1 species
UACAGAGGUCUCAAGCGUUGUUCGGAUUCAUUGGGCGUAAAGCGCGUGUAGGCGGUUCGGUAAGUCCGCUGUGAAAGUCAAGGGCUCAACCCUUGAAAGCCGGCCGAUACUGUCGGACUAGAGUCCGGAAGAGGCGAGUGGAAUUCCCGGUGUAGCGGUGAAAUGCGCAGAUAUGCGGAGGAACACCGAUGGCGAAGGCAAUCCCCUGGGCCUGCACUGACGCUCAUGCACGAAAGCGUGGGGAGCAAACAGG